CAAUAGCGUAUAUUAAAGUUGUUGCAGUUAAAAAGCUCGUAGUUGGACUUCUGCGGGUGGCGGCCGGUCGUGCCCUUAUGUGGCGUGAACUUGGCUCUUUGCCGCCCGCAUCUUUGGGGAGAUUGUGCGUGGCAUUAGGUUGUCGUGCGUGGGAUUCUCAUCAUUUACUGUGAAAAAAUUAGAGUGUUUAAAGCAGGCCUUUGCCUUGAAUACAUUAGCAUGGAAUAAUAAGAUAGGACCGUUGUCUAUUUUGUUGGUUUACAGAUGUCGGUAAUGAUUAAUAGGGAUAGUUGGGGGUAUUCGUAUUCAGUUGUCAGAGGUGAAAUUCUUGGAUUUUCGGAAGACGCACGACUGCGAAAGCAUUUACCAAGGAUGUUUUCAUUAA
rnacentral:rRNA from 1 species